rnacentral:rRNA from 1 species
GACGAACGCUGGCGGCGUGCUUAACACAUGCAAGUCGAACGGAAAGGCCCUGCUUUUGUGGGGUGCUCGAGUGGCGAACGGGUGAGUAACACGUGAGUAACCUGCCCUUGACUUUGGGAUAACUUCAGGAAACUGGGGCUAAUACCGGAUAGGAGCUCCUGCUGCAUGGUGGGGGUUGGAAAGUUUCGGCGGUUGGGGAUGGGCUCGCGGCUUAUCAGCUUGUUGGUGGGGUAGUGGCUUACCAAGGCUUUGACGGGUAGCCGGCCUGAGAGGGUGACCGGACACAUUGGGACUGAGAUACGGCCCAGACUCCUACGGGAGGCAGCAGUGGGGAAUAUUGCACAAUGGGCGGAAGCCUGAUGCAGCAACGCAGCGUGCGGGAUGACGGCCUUCGGGUUGUAAACCGCUUUCGCCUGUGACGAAGCGUGAGUGACGGUAAUGGGUAAAGAAGCACCGGCUAACUACGUG